GACGAACGCUGGCGGCGUGCUUAACACAUGCAAGUCGAACGGAAAGGCCCCUUUGGGGGUACUCGAGUGGCGAACGGGUGCGUAACACGUGCGUAACCUGCACUUGACUUCGGGAUAACUUCAAGAAACUGGGGCUAAUACCGGAUAGGCAUAAUUGCUGCAUGGUGGGGGUUGGAAAGCUUCGGCGGUUUUGGGUGGACUCGCGGCUUAUCAGCUUGUUGGUGGGGUAGUGGCUUACCAAGGCUUUGACGGGUAGCCGGCCUGAGAGGGCGACCGGCCACACUGAGACUUAGAUACGGCCCAGAUUCCGACUGGAGGGAGAAGUGGGGAAGAUUGCACAAGGGGCGGAAGGCGGAUGCAGCAACGCCGCGGGCGGGAUGACGGUCUUCGUGUUGUAAACCGCUUUCAGCAGGGGCGAAGCUUGUGGUGACGGUACCUGCAGAAGAAGCACCGGCUAACUACGUG
rnacentral:rRNA from 1 species